rnacentral:rRNA from 1 species
GAUGAACGCUAGCUACAGGCUUAACACAUGCAAGUCGAGGGGAAACGACAUCGAAAGCUUGCUUUUGAUGGGCGUCGACCGGCGCACGGGUGAGUAACGCGUAUCCAACCUGCCCAUCACUUGGGGAUAACCUUGCGAAAGUAAGACUAAUACCCAAUGAUAUCCCACGAAGGCAUCGGAAUGGGAUUAAAGAUUUAUCGGUGAUGGAUGGGGAUGCGUCUGAUUAGCUUGUUGGCGGGGUAACGGCCCACCAAGGCAACGAUCAGUAGGGGUUCUGAGAGGAAGGUCCCCCACAUUGGAACUGAGACACGGUCCAAACUCCUACGGGAGGCAGCAGUGAGGAAUAUUGGUCAAUGGGCGAGAGCCUGAACCAGCCAAGUAGCGUGCAGGAAGACGGCCCUAUGGGUUGUAAACUGCUUUUAUAAGGGAAUAAAGUGGGUCACGUGUGACUUUUUGCAUGUACCUUAUGAAUAAGGACCGGCUAAUUCCGUG